UGAUAAAUGAGAUUUAAAAAAAUCACUCACACUGUAGUUGCAUAGUUUAUAGUGGCUAGAAGGACACAGUGCAGAGCCUGGGACUUAAUUGUUCAAGAAGACCAUGGCACAGAGAGACAAUGCAUGUCUAUGUACAUUUAUGGCAUUUGGCAGGCAGUCUUAUCCAGAGCAACUUACAUUUAUCUAUUUUAUACAACUGAGCAGUUAAGGGGUAAAGGGCCUUGCUCUCAAGGGCCUAGCAGUGCAGUGUGCUGGUCCUGGGGUCCUAUCUCACAAUAUUCAAAUCAGUAGUUAACAACUGGUCAGUGGAUGUUUCGGCCACAUGGUGAUACCACAUUCUUGGCAGCAGAGGGCUUGGCACUCUUAUCAGAUCACAUAAAUCUGUGGUGCCAUAAUGAAUUUCUUCACUUUUUAACUUUCCUAAUGAGAUCUCGAGAUUUCUUUUCCAAUAUUUGGAAAUAUUUGGCUCAAUUUUGUAUUAUUUUACAGUUACUCACAAAACUAGAAUAAAGGAAUGUUUACAUGAACCGAUUGUGUGCUGCAAAUGGAAGUCCUAGUAGUAGUCAUUCUUGGUCCUGCCAGCUCUGUCUUAAUAAAGGCUGAUGCCCAAAUGUCCUGUGGGAAGAAGCUUCUCUUUGUGUUUGCCUUCAGGCAGCAAAAGUGCUUCCCUGACUGAAAACAGAGACAGAGAUCGGAUCAGCAGCCCAAAGCCUUAACCAGUGGGAUCCACUACCCAAAAUUCCAUGGCAUUGUCUGUCAGUUUUAUUAUACAUUGCCAAGCUCUGUCAAUACUAUUUAAUACUCUACAGUACUAUUCACUAUUAACUGGUAGUUACCAUAAUGUUUUGUUGUAUAACAAGGAUUAUAAUGUGUUUGAGUAAAGGGUAUUUCCUACAACAGUUUUUGUCUUGUCAGUUUUUUCUUGUCUUGUGCAAUUCCCCAUCGUAAUAAAACCUUUGUUUAAGCAGACCUUAGGUAUUUUUCUUCUUUUUAAAUAACGUCAUCUCUGAUGUAUUUCUAGACACUGAGGAGGCUCAGCGUUCCCUGUUUAUCUGCCACUGGAUGCACAAUUUCCUUACUAAUAGGGAACAGGGUGUGAGAGUGACCACAUUUCAGAUCCUCCCUUCCUCAGCACUGUGUUCUACUUCCAGUGCUUUAUUUACUUUUUACACCAAGUCACAUAUUGCAAAGUUUUUAUGGUGUGACACCAAGAUGGCAGUUAAUUACAGGUUAAAUCACACCCUACUCUACUCCUAAUGUAGAGUCUCACAAAUUCUUUGCUUCUUUUUUUCAAAUUCUUUGGCGCUGACUUGAUUCUACUCAGCCAUCAUGGAAUCAGUCAUGCCAUCCUGUCUAUUCCAAGUACAGCUCCUCUA